rnacentral:rRNA from 1 species
GACGAACGCUGGCGGCGUGCUUAACACAUGCAAGUUGAACGGGCAUACAUGGAAGCUUGCUGAAGUGUAUGUUAGUAGCGGACGGGUGAGUAAUGCAUGAGAAGCUGCCAUUGGGAGGGGGACAACAGUUGGAAACGGCUGCUAAUACCCCGUAUGCCGAAAGGUAAAAGGGAGCAAUCCGCCUGAUGAGGUGCUCAUGUCCUAUCAGCUGGUUGGUGGGGUAACGGCCUACCAAGGCGACGACGGGUAGCCGGCCUGAGAGGGUGAACGGCCACACUGGAACUGAGAUACGGUCCAG